rnacentral:rRNA from 1 species
CAGCAGCCACGGGAAUACGUAGGGUGCGAGCGUUAAUCGGAAUUACUGGGCGUAAAGCGUGCGUAGGCGGUGAGUUAAGUCUGCUGUGAAAUCCCCGGGCUCAACCUGGGAAUGGCAGUGGAUACUGGCUCGCUAGAGUGUGUCAGAGGAUGGUGGAAUUCCCGGUGUAGCGGUGAAAUGCGUAGAGAUCGGGAGGAACAUCAGUGGCGAAGGCGGCCAUCUGGGACAACACUGACGCUGAGGCACGAAAGCGUGGGGAGCAAACAGGAUUAGAUACCCCGGUAGUCCCUGUCUCUUAUAC